rnacentral:lncRNA from 1 species
UCCUCCACGCAGCAGUAUCCUGUGUCGUCCUCCGUGCAUCGCAGCGUACUCCAGCUGGCAGCCACUUCCGUGUCUUCGUCCUCUCCUUCCUGCACUCUGCCACAUCAUCAGCAUCAUCAAGAAUGGAGCCUUUGACUCAGGUUGGUUCUUGAUUUUUUGUCUGAUUUUUCCCUGCUUAUAUUUUUUUCUAUUCUUGAUUUGAUUCUGGUCUGUUCUUAAAUUUUUCAGUUCUUGAUUUUUGUUAUGAUUUUUAAUUUGUUCUUGAUUCUUGGUUGAGAUAUUUUCUGAAGUUCUCUAGUGUUUUCUUGGUUGCUGUUCUUGGUUCUUGUUUUUUGGUUAUGAUUUUCUACUGCUGUUUUUUUUCUGUUCUGUUUUUGAGUUGAUUCUGUUCUUGAUUUUUGUUCUUAAAGUUUUGUCUACAUCUAUUUUUCACUGCCAGUUUUCUGUUCUGUUCUUGAUUCUUAGAUUUUUGUUAUGAUUUGAAUUUGUUUUCUAACUUUUGUGUUGUUUUUUAAUUAUUUGAUUUUAACUUGUAGUUUGGUGUUCUAAUUUCAAUUUUGGUUUAGUGUUCUCUGUUCUUAUUUUAUUUUAUUGUUUUUGAUAUUACUGCAGUUUGAUAACAGUACAAGUGACAACAUUGGUGAAACAGGAAGACCGAAAAACCAAAUCAAAUCAAUCCAAUUACAAUUGGUUUAGUUUGGUUUGGUUAGCCUUAGAUAAAAAACCAACCGAAUAUUUGUUCAAUGUAUUAGAUAGCCUUUCCUCUAACAACCGAACUAUACUGCACUGCGAACUAUACUGCUCUGUGAACACCGGUACAUAAUAUUGCUUGUACCUGCUUUAUUUAUUUAUUGAUUUAUUUCACAUGCUUGCACCUCCUGCAGAAAUAUGCACUCAAGAUAUUCUAUCAUAAUCAAAUUGAGCAACAAAUAAAUUAAAAAAUAUUCUUAAAUUUGCUUGAUUAAUUAUCAUAAUUUAUACUAUGAUAUGAAGCAGAAUGGAAGAUAAAGUAAAGCUAUGAAUCUGUUAUAUUAUUUUCAUGGCUAUUGUAC